rnacentral:rRNA from 1 species
GACGAACGCUGGCGGCGUGCCUAAUACAUGCAAGUCGAACGCAGUGGGGACGGGUGAGUAACACGUGGGUAACCUCCCAUCAGAGGGGAUAACACUUGGAAACAGGUGCUAAACCGAUACUGAUGGAUGGACCCGCGGUGCAUUAGCUAGUUGGUGAGGUAACGGCUCACCAAGGCCACGAUGCAUAGCCGACCUGGUAGGGUGAGAGGACACACUGGACCUGAGACACGUCCCAGACUCCUACGGUAGGCAGCAGUACGGAAUCGUCGACAAUGGUCGAAAGUCUGACCGAGAAACUCCGAGUGAGUGAUGACGGUUUUCGGAUCGUAAAGCUCUUUUGUUAGAUAAGCGGUAUCUAACCAGAAAGCCACGGCUAACUACGUUCCAGCAGCCGCGGUAAUAC